ACACACACACUUUACUGUUACAGUGACACAAAUACACAGAGAGAGGGAGAGCUCCAUUGAUAGAAGAAUUUGAAUAUUUAAAGUAGUGACUAAAGUAUUCCACCCUGAAUCUGUAGAACUGGGUGAAAUGUGUUAGAAUCAUAAGACUAUAAUCUACAAUAACCCAGUAUAAACUGACGGUGUACACCAGGUGUAUCCUGUUAUAAACUGACACCAGGUGUAUCCUGUUAUAAACUGACGGUGUACACCAGGUGUAUCCUGUUAUAAACUGACGGUGUACACCAGGUGUAUCCUGUUAUAAACUGACACCAGGUGUAUCCUGUUAUAAACUGACGGUGUACACCAGGUGUAUCCUGUUAUAAACUGACGGUGUACACCAGGUGUAUCCUGUUAUAAACUGACGGUGUACACCAGGUGUAUCCUGUUAUAAACUGACGGUGUACACCAGGUGUAUCCUGUUAUAAACUGACGGUGUACACCAGGUGUAUCCUGUUAUAAACUGACGGUGUACACCAGGUGUAUCCUGUUAUAAACUGACACCAGGUGUAUCCUGUUAUAAACUGACGGUGAG